rnacentral:rRNA from 1 species
UACGUAGGGGCGAGCGUUGUCCGGAAUCAUUGGGCGUAAAGCGCGUGUAGGCGGCUCGAUAAGUCCGGUGUGAAACCUUGGGGCUCAACCCCAAGCCUGCACUGGAUACUGUCGAGCUAGAGUCCGGGAGGGAGAGCGGAAUUCCUAGUGUAGCGGUGAAAUGCGCAGAUAUUAGGAAGAACACCGGUGGCGAAGGCGGCUCUCUGGAACGGUACUGACGCUGAGACGCGAAAGCGUGGGAGCGAACGAGGAC